GUCUUCAGUGUACUUCUGUGAGCCUGACCCGUCUAGAGUUCAGCUCUGAUUGUGACUUUUUCUAGCUGAAAAGAUUUCAGGCACAGUGGAGAUAUUGACAUCAGAAUCAAGUCCAAGUAUUGGGCUUGCAUUUUUGGCCUUCUACAAUCCAGCCACAAGUUAUCUUUCCAGUGUUAGCUUCCAUUACAAGCUCCCCUUCCUGUGUUUCCGUACUCGGUUCCAACCUAAUGUCCAGAAAUUUAUCCACAAGAUUCCUUCUGUCUGACAUCCCUCUCCUGUACUGAUCUUCAAAUUCCUGACCCAUUCUUCAUAAAUGCUACCUUCCAAGCAUGUUUUCCCAUCCUCCAGCCAGAAGACAUUUCCUCUGUCUCUCUACAUGUUGUAUUGGAGUUGUUAAAGUUCCUCUCUUGUGUUAGUUGUAUGUAUUCAUGCCUGUAUUAACCAGAUGAAGGUGCAAUUCUGUGUUAAUAUAAGAGAAGUGUGGCCUUCCUUCUCAUAGGACUAGAAGUGAGAUAAUCCCUGUGUAAGAAAUCAGCCCCUACUUCUGUUCCCAGUAAUCUCUUCAAAGAAGAGGCUUGCAGGAUCUCAUUCCUUGAUGGGGGAUUGAACCUGUGUCAUGGAAGAAAAAGCGCUGAGUCCCAACUGUUAGACCACCAGGGAACUCCCUUUCACAAUAUGCUUGACCAUAAUAAUAUGCUUGACCAUUAAUAAGCCUUUGAGUUAUUUUCCUGCUUAGUCUUACUAUACAUAAGCCUGAAAAGAACAUCUUAAUCAAUGGGAACUUAAUUUUUUCAGUAGAGUCAGCUCCUAAUAAUGGAAAUGUUUAGAAAAAAGAUAUUUAUUUAUUGCUGAUUUUGAACAUUAUUACUAAAUUGCACUAAAAAAUUUACACCUAUUAAAAUUCCUAUCAAAAGGGUCAGAACUCACUGUGGCAUUAACAAUGGAUAUUACAACCCUUAAAAAGUGUGUCAGUCUGAUAGAUGAAAACUUAUAUGCGUUUUACAUUUCUUAAGUUGUGAAUCAGAUUGAGAAUCUUUUUGCACAUUGACCAUUUUGUUUCUAUAUCUGAAGAUCUGCCUAUUUAUGUUAAUUGAUCAUUUUUCUAUUAGUUCCCCCCCCCCCCACCUCCUUUGGACUUUUCCUUGCCAACUUGUACAAACAUUAUGUAAAUUAGAAAAUUAACUCUUUAUCAAAAUAGUUAAAACUCUUUUUCUUUCCCUUUACCAUUAAUCUUUUAGCUCUAUUUAUAUUUUUUGGCAUUUUCCUUUACAGUUUCUUAGUUUUGUGUCAUGUUGAGGAAGGCCUUUCACAUUACAAAAUUAAAGAAGUAUUUCCCCAUGC